rnacentral:rRNA from 1 species
AACGGAGGAAAAGAAACCAACAGGGAUUGCCCUAGUAACGGCGAGUGAAGCGGCAACAGCUCAAAUUUGAAAUCUGGCUCCUUUGGGGUCCGAGUUGUAAUUUGCAGAGGGAGCUUUUGGCGUCGGUCGUGGUCUAAGUUCCUUGGAACAGGACGUCACAGAGGGUGAGAAUCCCGUACGUGGCCGCCGGCCUUCGCCUUGUAAAGCCCCUUCGACGAGUCGAGUUGUUUGGGAAUGCAGCUCUAAAUGGGAGGUAAAUUUCUUCUAAAGCUAAAUACCCGCCAGAGACCGAUAGCGCACAAGUAGAGUGAUCGAAAGAUGAAAAGCACUUUGGAAAGAGAGUGAAAAAGCACGUGAAAUUGUUGAAAGGGAAGCGCUUGCGGCCAGACGUGCCCGCGGUUGAUCAUCCAGGCUCCAGCCUGGUGCACUCCUCCGCGGGCAGGCCAGCAUCAGUUCGGGCGGUCGGAUAAAGGCCUCUAUCACGUACCACCCCUCGGGGUGGCCUUAUAGGGGAGGCGCAACACGGCCAGCCCGGACUGAGGUUCCGCGCAUCUGCUAGGAUGCUGGCGUAAUGGCAGCAAGCGGCCCGUCUUGAAACACGGACCAAGGAGUCUAACAUCUAUGCGAGUGUUUGGGUGUCAAGCCCGAGCGCGCAAUGAAAGUGAACGGAGGUGGGAACCCUUACCGGUGCACCAUCGACCGAUCCUGAUGUCUUCGGAUGGAUUUGAGUAAGAGCAUAGCUGUUGGGACCCGAAAGAUGGUGAACUAUGCCUGAAUAGGGUGAAGCCAGAGGAAACUCUGGUGGAGGCUCGCAGCGGUUCUGACGUGCAAAUCGAUCGUCAAAUUUGGGCAUA